AAUAUUGGACAAUGGGCGAAAGCCUGAUCCAGCCAUGCCGCGUGUGUGAAGAAGGUCUUCGGAUUGUAAAGCACUUUAAGUUGGGAGGAAGGGCAGUAAGCUAAUACCUUGCUGUUUGGACGUUACCGACAGAAUAAGCACCGGCUAACUCUGUGCCAGCAGCCGCGGUAAUACAGAGGGUGCAAGCGUUAAUCGGAAUUACGGGGCGUAAAGCGCGCGUAGGUGGUUCGUUAAGUUGGAUGGGAAAGCCCCGGGCUCAACCUGGGAACUGCAUCCAAAACUGGCGAGCUAGAGUACGGUAGAGGGUGGUGGAAUUUCCUGUGUAGCGGUGAAAUGCGUAGAUAUAAGAAGGAACACCAGUGGCGAAGGCGACCACCUGGACUGAUACUGACACUGCGGUGCGAAAGCGUGGGGAGCAAAC
rnacentral:rRNA from 1 species